CCUACGGGUGGCAGCAGUGGGGAAUAUUGGACAAUGGGCGAAAGCCUGAUCCAGCCAUGCCGCGUGUGUGAAGAAGGCCUUCGGGUUGUAAAGCACUUUCAGUGGGGAAGAAAGCCUUGGGGCUAAUACCCUCGAGGAAGGACAUCACCCACAGAAGAAGCACCGACUAACUCCGUGCCAGCAGCCGCGGUAAUACGGAGGGUGCGAGCGUUAAUCGGAAUUACUGGGCGUAAAGCGCGCGUAGGCGGUCUGAUAAGCCGGUUGUGAAAGCCCCGGGCUCAACCUGGGAACGGCAUCCGGAACUGUCAGGCUAGAGUGCAGGAGAGGAAGGUAGAAUUCCCGGUGUAGCGGUGAAAUGCGUAGAGAUCGGGAGGAAUACCAGUGGCGAAGGCGGCCUUCUGGACUGACACUGACGCUGAGGUGCGAAAGCGUGGGUAGCAAACAGGAUUAGAUACCCUAGUAGUC
rnacentral:rRNA from 1 species